rnacentral:misc_RNA from 1 species
GAAAUGCGAUACGUAAUGUGAAUUGCAGAAUACCGUGAAUCAUCAAAACCUUGAACGCAAAUUGCACUCCUGGGACAUCCCUCGAGUACACCUGUCUGAGUGUCGUUUCCAAUCACCUCACCAAAUAACCUGGUGGAUGUUGAGCAUUGGUGGGCAGGACCCACCAUUGCUUCAAGUGCAGGGGUUCCUUGCGGGAUGGCAAGCGCACCCACACCGAUUGUUGAUUGCCCCAGGGCAUUCCCAUGAUCGGAUGAAGAUGAAAGCUGCAACCUGCUGGACCUUGGGAAGGAAGGGCCACGGCCCGCCUCCAAACUCCGACCUCAGAUCAGAUGAGAACACCCGCUGAACUUAA